UGGGUGAUGAUUUUUUUUUUUUUUAAGUUUCUAGUUUUGGAACAGUUCUAUAUUGGAAAUCAAAAGCAUCAUGAGCCUGCACCUUUCUUGCAUUUAAGUAACGCGUAUAAUUAAGAUGCAAUAAGUCCUGAAAUGGACUUGUUGAUUGACUCCUUUUCAUGAUGCUGAAUACAUUCUCUAGUUGCAUUUAUUAAGCGUCCAGUUCUUGAAAUGGUAUUUGAUUCCUUGUUGAUUGGUUAAUGAUUUUCAACUUCUGGUGAAAAUUCCUUCGUUCCCACCUACCUUCCAUUAUUAUGUUUCUGUCUUCUAUAGACAUUAUAGUUGAACGCCUUUUCAAACUCUUCCCCACCUUCUUGCUUUUUUGCGUACUUUAAGUCUUCCAUCUAUUCUACACCAAAUUAUCAUCAAUCCCUUAUCACACAUUAAUCUUUCAUUCUUUUUUUACCGCUGAAAGUUAUUCUUGCUAUUGGAAGCAGCACAAACCAUUGUCAAUGUAUUUUUGGACCACGUAUAUGUAUGUAUAUAUUGAAGGCCUUCUUCCGAAAGAUGGGACAUAUCAAUAGGGAAAUGCAAGCCCAAAAAUGGACUGCAACAAGUCAUGAAAAUCUUCAAAUGGAGUAUAUGUCUAUCGUUCAUGGAGAUGGCCAUCAUUUUCUUUGAUGCUCUAUUUGGAUUAUAUAUGUUGUGGAAUCAUAUUAAUACAGUUUCUAUAGGACAUCACAUGUGCCCUGAGGUAGUUGCCGUAUUUUACAUAUUUAUUCAGUUUUCGACAUUCAAGAUUAUUUUUCAAAGAGUCUAUAAUUUGAUGUUGUACAGAUAGCAGACUUGGAUUCCUGUUUGAAGCUUUUUUUUCAACUUCCCUUUUAUUCUUUUCGUACCCUUAAUUACUAUUCUACCCAUCUGAUGAUCAAAUAAUUAAUAGCUUCCUUUGGCCUAAUUAUUGUUGCAGGCGCGACAGUUUUAUCACUCAUAGG
rnacentral:misc_RNA from 1 species